rnacentral:rRNA from 1 species
UACGUAGGGGCGAGCGUUGUCCGGAUUUAUUGGGCGUAAAGAGCGUGUAGGCGGCCAGGUAGGUCUGCUGUGAAACUCGAGGCUCAACCUCGAGACGUCGGCGGAAACCAUCUGGCUAGAGUCCGGAAGAGGAGAGUGGAAUUCCUGGUGUAGCGGUGAAAUGCGCAGAUAUCAGGAAGAACACCCGUGGCGAAGGCGGCUCUCUGGGACGGUACUGACGCUGAGGUGCGAAAGCGUGGGGAGCAAACAGG